ACUGAAGGAAGCAGCAUGUCUUUGUCUAUUUGAAAAGACUGGGUAACCCACUGAACUUCUUUCAUGGUUGGGAUAGGGGAUUGCAAUUGUUCCCCUUGAAC
rnacentral:rRNA from 1 species